rnacentral:rRNA from 1 species
UUACCUGGGCUUGAAAGGGGAUUGACUUCUGCCGAAAGGUGGAUUCUCUUCGGAGCAGUCUCCUAGGUGCUGCAUGGUUGUCGUCAGCUCGUGCCGUGAGGUGUCGGGUUAAGUCCCAUAACGAGCGCAACCCUUAUCGUUAGUUGCCAGCGGGUAAUGCCGGGGACUCUAACGAAACUGCCGGUGUAAACCGUGAGGAAGGUGGGGAUGACGUCAAAUCAGCACGGCCCUUAUGUCCAGGGCUACACACGUGUUACAAUGGUCGGUACAAAGGGCAGCUAUGCCGCGAGGCAAUGCUAAUCUCUAAAACCGGUCUCAGUUCGGAUCGAAGUCUGCAACUCGACUUCGUGAAGCUGGAUUCGCUAGUAAUCGCGCUUCAGCAAUGGCGCGGUGAAUACGUUCCCGGGCCUUGUACACACCGCCCGUCAAGCCAUGGAAGCUGGGGGUACCUGAAGUCUGUAACCGCAAGGAGCGGCCUAGGGUAAAACCAGUGACUGGGGCGAAGUCGUAACAAGGUAGCC